GGAAGGGGAGGGGGAGCCCCAAAAAGGAGGAAAUGAGGAUUUGGCGGCUCUUGCUUUAUUUCUGCAAAAUGCACUUUCCAGGUGGCCCCGCGCGGCUCCGGCCUGGCCCGGAUCCCCCGCGCCUCCGCCCGGCCCGGCCCCCGGGCGCCCCCGAGCCCUCCCGCCGCCGGCCGCCGGGACGCGGUCGGGCCCCGGCCUCUGCCCCUCCGGGCUCGGGCCCCGCGCAGCACUCACCUCGGCCGGGCUGCGCUCCCCGCGGGCCUGCGCCGAGCCCGAUAAAUGACACAUCUUAGAAGCUGGGAUACAGCGGUGGAACACAUUUUAAACAUUUAAACACACUGUGAUACUCUAAGAUUAAAGAACAUAAAAGGUAGCUUCUGGCAUGAAGAGGAUGGGGAUUUUUUAUUCAAAAAUGAAAAGCUGAGAUACUCCUGAAACCAUUGUUGCACUAUAUAUAUGCUAACUUGGACGUAAAUUAAACAAAUAAAUGUAAUUUUAAAAAAUGAAAAGCA
rnacentral:lncRNA from 1 species